rnacentral:misc_RNA from 1 species
UGCGAGCAGAGCCGAGGGAAGCAGCAAAAGGGUAGUUUUUGGGAGGGGGCUGGGCCAUAAAGAUAAAAAGGGGUGAUUUUGCGAGAGAUUCUUUAAGAUUGUCAAGUACCCAGAUGAGAGCAUAGUGACUAUACUCGCUUUCAUCGAUGGCCAGCAUCACUUUCCUCUCAGGUUCUCCAUUUGCCAUAGCUACCUCUGCCAUUUUCAGGGUUUAGACCCAAAAGCUUAGUUUGAAGAAUGAUGCCUUCGUUUACA